AAAAAAAGUGAUUUAAAUAGACAGACAUUAGGCGCUAAGGUCUUUUGUCAAGAGGGAAACAGCCCAGAUUGAUCGCUAAGGUCUCUAAAUAAUAUUCUAAGUGAAAAAGGAAGUGAAAAAAUGAUUACAACCAGUAGGUAGGCUUGGAAGCAGCCAUCCUUUAAAGAAAGCGUAAUAGCUCAUUGGUCUAGUUUUUUUGCGCCUAAAAUGUAUCGAGACUUAAGAAAUUUACCGAAGCGGCAAGUUUUAUUUUAUAUAAAACGGUAGCGGAACAUUCUGUAUGUUAAUAAAGAUAUAUUGUGAAAUAUAUUGAAGAUAUCAGAAAAGAAAAUGCUGGCAUUAGUAACAAAAAAUAACGCAUAUGAAUCGUUAUCACCGUAAAUCCAAGGGUUUCUAUGUUAAGAUGUAUUGCAUAGAGUGAAACGGCCCCUAAGAAAGAUUUGACGAAAGCAAAUUUUGAUGGGAUAAUUUUUAAAUUAAAUUUUUUUAAAAAAGUGACAAAAAUUUUAAUUUUUCAGGAAAUAACUUUUUUAAUUAAAAACCGUACCCUAAACCGACACAGGUGGAUAGGUCGAGUAGACUAAGGUGAAUGAGAGAACUAUAUUGAAGGAACUCGGCAAAAUGACUUUGUAACUUCGGGAUAAAAAGUACCUAAUUAUUAAAAAAAAAUAAUGAGGUGUCACAAAAUAGGGGGUUGCGACUGUUUAAUAAAAACUUAGGACUCUGCUAAAUGGUAACAUGAUGUAUAGGGUCUGACACCUGCCCGGUGCUGGAAGAUUAAAAGGAGAUGUUUGCGCAUUAAAUGGAAGUCCCAGUAAACGGCGGCCGUAACUCUGACGGUCCUAAGGUAGCGAAAUUCCUUGUCGGGUAAGUUCCGACCUGCAUGAAUGGUGUAACGACAUCCCCGCUGUCUCCAAUAUAGACUCAGUGAAUUUGAAUUAUCCGUGAAGAUGCGGAUUUUCUAUAGUUAGACGGAAAGACCCCGUGAACCUUUACUACAUCUUUAUAUUGUUAUUUUAUCUAAUAUGUGUAGUAUAAGUGGUAAUCGUUUAGACCUUUACGCUAGUAAAUUGUUUAGAUAUUCUUGAAAUACCACUCUUAUUAUAAUAAAUAACUAAUAUUUUUUUAAAUAGACAUUGUAUGGUUGGUAGUUUGACUGGGGCGGUCACCUCCUAAAGAGUAACGGAGGUGUACAAAGGUAAGCUCAAAUUGGAUAAUAGUAUCAAUUGUAGAGCAUAAUGGUAAAAGCUUGCUUGACUGUAAGAUAGACAUAUCAAACAGGGACGAAAGUCGGUCAUAGUGAUCCGAUAAUUCUUUGUGGAAAGAUUAUCGCUCAACGGAUAAAAGGUACUCCGGGGAUAACAGGCUGAUGACUCCUAAGAGCUCCUAUCGACGGAGUCGUUUGGCACCUCGAUGUCGACUCAUCACAUCCUGGAGCUGAAGAAGGUUCCAAGGGUUCGGCUGUUCGCCGAUUAAAGUGGUACGUGAGUUGGGUUUAGAACGUCGUGAGACAGUUUGGUUCCUAUCUUCUAUAGAUAUUUUGAAAAAUGAAAGAAUCUAACUCUAGUACGAGAGGACCGAGAAGGGUAAAUCUCUGGUGUAUCGGUUGUUAAAAGGCAUCGCCGAGUAGCUAAAUUUAUUUUGGAUAAUUACUGAAAGCAUCUAAGUAAGAACCCAUUCUUAAAAAUUUUUCAUAUAAAAACUGUAAAAGACGAUUACAUUAAUAGGUUUUAAGUGUAAGUGUUGUAAAAUAUUUAGCUUAAAAAUACUAAAAGUUUUAAAAAUUAAAAUAU
rfam:Phytophthora parasitica INRA-310 unplaced genomic scaffold supercont2.573, whole genome shotgun sequence.